UCAAACAAGAUUGCAUAUAUUCUUUAUGUUCUUUUCUUUCAAAGUAAAUAUUUUAUGUACCAUGAACAUAUCUUUAAAUGGUUCUCAAUUCAGAAUGUCGCAAAUGCUUUUGUGUUUGGGAGAGGAUCAUCUAUCAUCUUCAAGUUGGCCAUCUUGUUACUGAUAGGCUGCUAUGGAUGGACUGUGAUGGGGAAAUCGCGAAAUUGCUCCUUUGUUUAUUAUUGUUUCACGCCUAAUGUAUGAUCUAACUGAUACUUACACAAUCAAAAUUGGCCCUUUAUUAUUAGUAUUUUUGGGGGGUUGGGCGGGUUCUCAUUACUGCUCUUCAAUUCUGUACGUAUAACAAUUAUUUGUACCAAAAAGAAGUAAACAGUUUAUCAAAUCUUCAUCAAUUUAAAUUGG